CUGCAGUCUUGCGUCCCGUGAGGCCAUGAAAGAACAGAGGAGGAUAUGAUUUUGCGUCGUAAGGGCAGCGGCUGCAGUCUUGCCUCCCGUCAGG